UCAGUUAUACUGUUACAAUUUUUGUGGUUUACUUUCCGCCAUCUCUCUAAAUUGAUUACUUUCGAUCUGUUCUUGAUAGUCAGUUGAAUGGUUCAUCAGGAAGCUUUAGUGAUAAUGUUACACUGACGGAGGGACCAGAUCAUCUUCAACUUAUGCAUUCAUUCUGGAAUUUUUCCGAACAUUUGGAAAAUAUCUAAAAUUAUUCCAAUCCAGAAAGAUUAAUAAUUAUAGUACACCUCACCAAUACGGUUUUAUGCAUGGCAGAUCCACGACAACAAAUCUUUUCUGGGUUACUCAGUUUAUUCUGAUUCCAUUGAUGACGGUUGUCAAACUGAUGUUACUUAUUUGGAUAUCUCAAAAGUGUUUGACAAGUUAGAUUAAUAAACUCAGUGAUUUCGGUU